UACGGGGGGAGCAAACGUUGUUCGGAAUCACUGGGCGUAAAGGGCGCGUAGGCGGCCUCGUAAGUGGUGUGUGAAAUGUCCUGGCUCAACCAGGGAAUUGCGCUCCAAACUGCGAGGCUUGAGGGCAGUAGAGGAAGCUGGAAUUCCAGGUGUAGCGGUGAAAUGCGUAGAUAUCGGAAGGAACACCAGUGGCGAAAGCGGCUUCCUGGUCCAGCACCGACGUUCAGGCACGAAAGCGUGGGGAGCAAACAGG
rnacentral:rRNA from 1 species